AGAUAAUUCCCUGUUUCCCAUCUUUAAAAUUUCUACUACUUAUCAGCUCUCUCUUAGGCAAUUCAACAAACAUAUAGUAGUCAUGCAAGUUAAUAAAUUUUUGCUAUGAUUUCCCCUGCAUUUCACCACUCUUAUGUUUCUUGAAUUUCGUCUCAUAAUUCCUGUAUGGCUGUGAUUAUAGUCUGCUCCUCAACAAUUUGUUGUAGUAAUUUCAGUUGCAGAGGUGCAGCUGAGGCUAUACCAACUGUCAGCAAACCAUACGGUUUAAGUUACAAUGUGCCUUUAGGAGGGACAAAGAUUGGAACUUCGAGGCUUUUCCCAUGUGGGUCUAUGAGGCUUUUCCCAUGUGGGUCUAUGUUGAGGUGGAAGAAAAUCAUGAAAAAGCAAGUGGGUUUUUCUGGGUUUGGAAUAAAAAGUUCAUAUGAUGUUGUGGUUGUCAAUGGAAAACUCAAAAAGAGUAUGUCUCCUGAGGAACUUUUGGGGGUUUUGAAGUCAAAAUCUGACCCAAAUCAAGCCUUUUCUUUCUUCAAAUCCGUUGCUGAAUUGCCUACUGUAGUUCACAAUACAGAGACAUGUAAUUACAUGCUUGAGCUUUUGAGGGUUCAUAAAAGGAUAAAUGACAUGGCUGUGGUGUUUGAUUUGAUGCAAAAGCGGAUAAUAUAUAGGAGUUUGAAUACCUACUUGACUAUAUUUAGAAGUCUUAACAUAAUUGGAGGGAUUCGGGAAGUGGUGGUAGCUAUUGAGAGGAUGCGAAAAGCAGGGUUUGUGUUGAAUGCCUACUCGUAUAAUGGAUUGAUACAUUUGGUUCUUAAAGAAGGGUUUUGGAGGGAAGCUUUAUGGGUAUAUAGAAGGAUGGUCUCAGAAGGGCUCAAGCCUAGUCUUAAAACCUACUCUGCACUGAUGGUGGCAUGUGGGAAGCGAAGGGAUACACAAACAGUCAUGAGGUUGUUGGAGGAGAUGGAGAGCUUAAAAUUGAGACCCAAUGUUUAUACUUUCACCAUUUGUAUUAGGGCACUGGGAAGGGCGGGUAAGAUCAAUGAGGCAUAUGGUAUUCUUACAAAAAUGGAUAAGGAGGGUUGUAUGCCUGAUGUAGUCACUUACACGGUUCUUAUUGAUGCUCUUUGUGAUGCUGGAAAGCUUGACAUUGCAAAAGAAGUUUUUGCAAAGAUGAAAUGUGGAAGGCAAAAACCUGAUCGUGUAACUUACAUCACAUUGCUGGAAAAAUUUGCUGAUCAUGCAGACCUGGAAUCUGUUAGGGAAUAUCUGUGCAAAAUGGAAGCUGAUGGUUAUAAAGGGGAUGUUGUUACUUUCACGAUACUUAUUGAUGCCUUGUGCAAAGUGGGAAAUGUUGAUGAAGCAUUUGCCACUUUGGAAACCAUGAAGGAGAAAGGACUAGCCCCUAAUCUACACACUUACAAUACCUUGAUUGGUGGCCUUCUGAAAGAAAAUAGGUCUGAUCAGGCAUUUGAGCUAUUUGGUAGCUUGGAAUCAUUAGGCGUGCAACAUACUGCAUUCACAUAUAUCCUGUUCAUUGACUACUAUGCAAAAUUAGGUCAAACUGACAAGGCUCUUGAAACUUUUGAGAAGAUGAAAGCUCAUGGAAUUGCUCCAAAUGUUGUCGCUUUCAAUGCAUCUCUGUAUGGCCUAGCAGAAUUGGGUCGGCUUAAGGAGGCAAAAGAUACUUUUAAUGGAAUGAAAAGGAGUGGACUUGUACCUGAUUCCAUCACAUAUAACAUGAUGAUAAAGUGUUUUGCCAAUGCAGGAAAAGUUGAUGAGGCUGUUCAGUUUCUGAAUGAGAUGAUUGAGACUGGCUGUGAUCCAGAUGUUAUCAUUGUCAAUUCUUUAAUUGACAUGCUUUACAAGGCUGAUCGUCCAGAUGAGGCGUGGGCAAUGUUCCGCAGAAUGAAGGAUAUGCGGCUUGUUCCUUCAGUUGUUACGUACAACACUUUGUUGGCUGGACUGAGAAAGGAGGGCAAGUAUAUAGCAGCUUUUCAGUUAUUCGACAGCAUGAGUGCACGUGGCUGUCCUCCCAAUACAAUAACAUUCAAUACUGUUUUGGAUUGUCAUUGCAAGAAUAAUGAGGUUGACUCAGCUGUGAAGAUAGUUUAUCAAAUGACAGAAGUUAAAUGCUAUCCUGAUGUUUUUACGUACAACACAAUCAUUUCUGGGUUAAUUAAAGAAAACAGGUUGAGGGAAGCUUUCUGGUUCUACCAUCAAAUGAGAAAAGUGUUGUACCCUGACUGUGUAACUUUGUGCACUCUCCUCCCUGGUAUCAUGAAAGAGGGUUUGAUUGAUGAUGCUUUUCACAUUGUCAAGGAUUUUGCUCACCAAGUUGAAAGUACAUUAGACAGAUCUUUCUGGGAAAAUCUAAUGGAAGGAACUAUUUGUGAAGCUGAAUUGCAUUACUGCAUUUCAUUUAUGGAAAAGUUACUUUCUGAUUGUCUGUGCAAAAAUGAAUCGAUCAUGGUACCUAUUAUUAAAUUUCAGUGCAAGCAAAAGAAAGUCCUUGAUGCUCAUAAAUUGUUUUUGAAAGUCAGAAGGUCAUUUGGGAUAUUACCGACACUAGAAAUACAUUGUGUCCUAAUUGAUGGCCUUCUUGAAUUUCAUCAUAAAGAAUUGGCUUGGGAACUUUUCUUGGACAUGAAAAAGGCUGGUUGUGCUCCUGAUGUUUCCAUAUACAAUUUGUUGCUUGAUUAUCUUGCGAAGUCAGGAAUGAUUGAUGAACUUUUUGAAUUGUAUGAAGAGAUGCGUCAUAGAGGAUGUACGCCUGAUACUGUAACGCACAACAUACUCAUCUCUGGUCUUGUUAAGGCUGGUGAUGUGUACAAGGCCAUAGAUUUAUACUAUGAUAUGGUAAGUGGAGGCUUUUCUCCCACUCCCUGCACCUAUGGUCCUCUUCUAGAUGGUCUUCUCAAACUUGAAGAUUUGGAUGGAGCAAAGAAAUUGCUUGAGGAAAUGAUUGAUUAUGGAUGCCUACCUAACUCUGCUAUAUACAACAUCCUUAUCAAUGGAUUUGGUAAGGCAGGGGAUGUGGAAAAUGCAAUUUCAUAUUUCAAUAGAAUGCUUAGGGAGGGAAUAAGACCUGACUUGAAAUCUUACACCAUUCUAGUUGAUUGUCUUUGCAUAGCUGGAAAGGUGGAAGAUGCAACUUACUAUUUUGAGGAGUUAAAGUCAUCUGGCCUUGAUCCCGAUUUGGUUUCUUAUAACCUUAUGAUUAACGGACUUGGAAGAUGGGGAAAAAUUCAUGAAGCUUUGGCUCUUUUUAGUGAGAUGCGCAGCAGAGGAAUUUCUCCUAACCUAUAUACCUACAAUUCUCUAAUUCUCAAUCUUGGAGUUCUGGGGAUGUUGGAGGAAGCAGGAAAGAUGUUUGAAGAACUAAAGGUAGCAGGUCUUGAACCGAAUGUUUUCACUUAUAAUGCUCUCAUUAGAGGGUAUAGCAUCUCUGGGAACCCUGAUGGAGCAUAUGAAGUCUUUGAGAAGAUGAUGGUUGGGGGAUGUAGCCCUAACAGUGGGACAUUUGCUCAGCUGCCUAACUAAGUCCAGAUUACAUGCUUAUAGGCGAUGCUAAUGUAGCUUACUUUUCAUCUCCAUCCCUGGGGACACAGCUGCAAGGUAUUGCAGCUCCUCUGAGUCUUUUUACAUCGUGGCAACCUUUGAUCAGUACACCAACAAGGAAACAAUUAAAAGGACAUUACUUCUUGAGUUCUGAUUGAAUGUAUAGAUAUGUGUAUUCUACUUAUGCGAUGUAGUCAGCUAGUUUGACUUCAUCUCAUUUAAAGUUUGUUUUAUCUGUAUACUUGUGUUAUCGAUGCAGGAUUUGAAGAGUAUACUUGUACAGCUUCAUCCUGAUACAGGAUUUGAAGAGUAUACUUGUACAGGAUUUGAAGAGUAAUUACUGGUUGCAAGGGUGUUAUGAUUUCAUGCUGUUGCAGUCAAAUCAUACAGCUUCAUUCUGACUCUAUUUGUUGAUUCAGCUACAAUGCCUUGAAAGGUACAAUUUUAUCUCUGGCUGAAAAUAUGAAGAUAGUAAAAUCAUGUUCAAGUAGCCUAAAUCACAUGCUCCAGUCGGUGUAUAAUCAGAAAGGAAAAUGCACAGUUUUUCACGACCCAAAUCUGUAAUUGCGAUUCAGCAAGAUGAAGUGAAGAAACCAGAACAAAAAUUGAGCUUCUAAGCUCAGUUUCUAUACUUAUAAUAGACGUGGACUCUAUUGGCUUGCUGAAGUGGUAGGAGGGCAACAAAAAAUGGUCACUCGUUCACCCUUCUAUAUGAGUAUAUUAAACACAUAUUGUUUAUUCUAUUCUCUAUAUUGGGACCCUUUUUCUCAGUGUUGGAACUUCAAAUCCAUAUUUAUGUGUCAGCAUAGAAGGGGCAGGGAGGGAAAUAACACAUUCAGAAUGAUUUCCAUUUUCUGUUGUAUUAUCCUGUCUUCCUGGAAUCUAUGAAGCAUCUUAACGUCAAUAUUUGUUGGCUAA